CUCACUGAAGACACAAAGCAUGUACAUGAACUGUCCCUGUUUAACCUGACACACAGGUUGGUUCAUUGGUUUAGACCUGCACUGGACAAUACAUGCACAAACUUAAAGUGUUUUGAACACAACAGGACAGUAAGUUCCUUUGUGUUCAUGUAUUUAACCUACUUGUCUCAGUAGGUGGUGCUGUAACAGAAGUUACUUUUUAACACCAGUAACAGAUUACUCUCAAAGUAACACUGUCUAACUCUUCUCUCCACCAAAGGUCUGAAUCAUUUGACUGGAGUGAUGGAUCCAUGAGGAGUGACAGUUCAAAAGGUCAAGUUGUUGACUUUAAAGGAUCAGAUCCUGAGAGAUCCUCUCCACCAAGACCUGAAUCCUCAAGACCCCAAACCCCAGAUGAAGCUCUGCAGAUCUCGGAGCUCCUGGAGUCAGAUGAGGUCCUGAUGGAUGAUUGUAUAGCCCUGUCCCCUCCUCUUCAUCUUCCAUCUGUGAGAGCUGUUUACUCAAGGAGGAGAAUUCGUUCCAUGGAUAAUCGUAAUGAUUUUAAAGGAAACCAUCUGUCCAUCAACAGGGAGUAA
rnacentral:lncRNA from 1 species